GGCUGAUGGCUUUUGGACUUCAAAUAAAAGAGAAACAAAGCGAUUCUUAAACAAAAGAACUGCUGUCUGAAAGCAAUUCUUAAAGAGAAAGAGCCCUAUUGAUACCGAACAGGAAAGCUGGGUCACUGAAGUCUGCCUUGGGAGCUCUACCUGGACCGUCAGAUCUUAGGCUCCAGAAGUAGAAGAGACCUUUCUGGGCACCUCAUCCGUGGGUCUGCCGGGCAGCGAUGAGCACACUGUGGGCUCAGCAUGGACCAACACAGUCCUAGCUAAAGGUUGAACGAUGGCCCUGAAGGACAUCUGGGUCCUAACGCCUGGAAUUUGACAGUGUUACUUUAUACGACAAGAGAUUUUGCAUAUGUGAUUAAGGUAAGGAUCGUGAGAUGGGGAGAUUAUCCUGAAUUACCCAGGUAUGCCUUAAGUAUCAUCACAGGUAUCCUUGUAAGAGGGAGGCAGAGAGGGAUUUGACACAGAAAAGGAAGGCAAUGAAUGUGACAACGGAAGCAGGAUGCUGCGCUGCUGGCUUUGAAGAUGGAGGAAGGGACCACAAGCCAGGAAUGCAGCUCCAGGGCUGGAAAAGGCCCAGUCACAGAUUCUCCCUGGAGCCUCUGGGUAGAGCGCGGUUCUGCUGACACCUUGACUUCAGCCCGGGGAAACUGAUUACAGACUCCGAGCUCCAGGACUGUAAGAGAGUGAAAGCAUGUUCUUUUAAAACAUCAAUUUUGUGGUAGCUGUGACGGCAGCCAUAGGCAACUAGUACAAUCAUGUAAAUUUACUUCCUUUGCAUUGUUUCAUUUUUAAAAAUUGGCACCUGAGCUGACAUCUGUUGCCAAUCAUUUUUUUCUUCUUCUUCUCCCCAAAGCCCCCCAGUACAUAGUUGUAUAUUCUAGUUGUAGGUCCUUCUGCUUGUGCUGUGCAAGAUGCCGCCUCAGCGUGGCUUGAUGAGUGGUGCCACGUCCGCGCCAAGGAUCCCAACCAGCAAAACUCUGGGCCACCGAAACAGAGCGCGCGAACUUUUAACCACUCGGCCAUGGGGCCGGCCCCUGCAUUGUUUCUUGAUCUAUCAUAGAGGAGAAUUAAAACUUCUGCCCAAUGAUUGCGUUUUUGCUCAUUUCUUCUUGACCUUUAA
rnacentral:lncRNA from 1 species